rfam:Oryza meridionalis cultivar OR44 (W2112) chromosome 10, whole genome shotgun sequence.
AACUACACUAUCGAUGUAUAGAUUCACCCGCAAGAUGAUGUGGCUGUUUCAUCUAGGACGAGGAUAUGGCAUUCUAGUACCAGCCAUCGCACGAAAUUAAUAUGAUUCACGUCCUCAUCCUAGAUGGAACAAGCACGUCAUCUCACGGGUGAAUCCAUCCAUCGAUAGUGUGGUU